rfam:Bombyx mori DNA, contig: Bm_scaf9_contig7589, strain: p50T/Dazao, build 2, whole genome shotgun sequence.
UUAACUCAAAUUUGUAUGGAAUUGGAACUUUUGGCUAAGCGGCAAACUUAGGCAAAAGUUCCAAUUCCAUACAAAUUGAGGGGC